rnacentral:rRNA from 1 species
GACGAACGCUGGCGGCGUGCGUAACACAUGCAAGUCGAACGGAAAGGCCCUGCUUUUGUGGGGUGCUCGAGUGGCGAACGGGUGAGUAACACGUGAGUAACCUGCCCUUGACUUUGGGAUAACUUCAGGAAACUGGGGAUAAUACCGGAUAGGAGCUCCUGCUGCAUGGUGGGGGUUGGAAAGUUUCGGCGGUUGGGGAUGGACUCGCGGCUUAUCAGCUUGUUGGUGGGGUAGUGGCUUACCAAGGCUUUGACGGGUAGCCGGCCUGAGAGGGUGACCGGCCUCAUUGGGAACGAGAUACGGCCCAGACUCCUACGGGCGGCACUAGUGGGGAUUAUUGGUUAAUGGGCGGAAGCCUGAUUCAGCAACGCUGCGUGCCGGAUGAAGGCCUUCGUGUUCGAAACCGCUUUCGCGUGUGACGACGUGUGAGUGACGGUAAUGGGUAAAGAAGCACCGGCUAACUACGUG